UGAUCCUUUUCAACCCAGGCCAUUCUAUGAUUCUAUAAUUAAAAAUGCACUUUUAUACCCAGGAGUGGAUUCAUUGCUCAUGGCUCUGCAAAUUUCCCCCUUGGUGAUGCUUGGCGAAGCAGAACUAAAAAAUCAGCAUUUCUGCACACCGACCGCAUGGUUGCUAAGUUGGCAGUUUGCUUGUGAUAUGUGUGGGUGCAUCGCUUUUAUGUAAGCACAUAAUUUGUUGGUACACAGAUAAGUUGUGCUUUUGCAGGCUAGCUCUUCAUUAAAAACUAGUACAGCUUAAAUCUAGAGCAUGUCUAAUCUGGGCAAGCUGUGAAUGACUCACUGCCAUACCUGCAGAUAGAUUAUCAGCUGAGAAAUUAGAGCUUGUUUCCCCUUCUCUUUGGUGGCUGCUUAUUUAAUUUUUCCCAACAAGUGCUAUGUGUGAUCAUGCUCAGCAGGGGAUAUUUCUGUGAGUUUGGUGUUCCCAGUGCCUUUAUCACCCUGCUAUCCUGCUUACUAAAUGCUUAAUUCUAGAGAUGCAGGCAGAUACGUACACCUCUAAGGUUUUUGAUGGGAAGGAGAUAGGAUGUUAUUGUUUGCUUCAGUUUUUUGCUUCUCUUUUUUCUUUUUUUUUAAAUUAACCACAGAAAUGUGGUAAAUGCCUAUUACUAGCCCUGCCUAGAGACAACAGUUUCAUCAACCUUAUCCUUUUGCUCUUAGUGUACUGCAGCUAGAAAACAAAUAGUGGUCAGUGGGAAAGGAAUAACCUAAAUAAUAGUCUGAGUAACUAGAACAAAAUAUAAAAGCGAACAACUUACAAAGCUUAUGGCAAAGAUAAGGCUGAGAGGCUGUUCAGCCUGGAGAAAACAGAGGGGGGAUUUUAUCAAUGCUUAUACGUUUGUGAUGGGUGGGAGUCAAGUGGGCAGGGCCGGGUUCUUUGCAGUGAUGCCCAGCAAGGGGCAAUGGGCACAAACUGGAACACAGGAAACUCCAUACAAACACAAGGAAGAAAACUUCUUUGAGGGUGACAGAGCCUUGGAAUAGGCCGCCCAGAGUGCUGGUGGGGUCUGCUUCUCUGGAGAUACUCAGGACCUGCCUGGACACUUUCCUGUGCAACCUGCUGUAGGGAAGUUGCUUUAGCAGCGGGGUUGCGCCCAAUGAUCUCCGGUUGUCCCUUCCAGCCCCUGCAAUUCUGUGAUUCUGUGGGUUUCUUUAGGGACUGGUGAUUUUUCUCCAUGUUUUAUCCUUUAUGGGCAAGUGCUGCUGUUGCUAAACCAGGUAGCACUUGUCAUUUUCAAGGACUCAAAGCCUGUUUCAGAGGAAACACAUCCAUACAUUGCGAAACCACAUUCAUGAAUGCUGCUGUUCUUUUUUUAGUGGAAAAUGUAUCGAAGCAAAUUUGCAGUUCAGCUUUCACAAAUGUCUAAAAUAUGUGUUUGCUUGUAUUUAAUGGCAAGAAUGGAAUGAGCUUAGUUUCAGAUCUAGAAUUAGGAUGCCUAAAUGCAAAUGAAUCAGAUUUCAAAGAUGAGGUCUGACAGAUUUCUGUGCCUCUCUGGAGGCGUGUGUGACUUGCUCUCCCAGAUAACUAUAGAACAUAGACUUAGAUAUCCAGAACACAGAGUCAGGAAAAGAGAUUGCCAGUGAAGAGCUGAAAGGUGAGUGAAAAACUGUGUUCAUCCUUGGGAAGAAAUUCUGGAUGCGAUGAAGAAGUGGAAGGUUCAUCAGCCCAGACCUGAGUCUAAGCCCAUCUCAAAGUAAUCUUCAGUGGUGUACUGUGAGUGGCAUCUGAUAUUUUUGUGUGUCAUAAUGGUUUCAAAUACUGGAUGUAUAAAUUGAGUUAAGAUAAUAAGUUGUCUUGUUCUGAGCAGGCUACCAUUGCUUGCUACCACAAAAUUGGCCUCUUUUUCCUAAAAGGCUGUUUUCUAAGUUCAGCUCAUCAAGUGCACUCAUGGAAAGGAGAACUAUCCAAAGAGCCAGUGAUGGGGAACAGCCAAAUUCAGCCUCUGAGACAUAGAGAUCUUUAAUGGCAACAAAUACAGUAGCUCUUGGAGCUGGCUGUCUGUGAGUAUAGAACUACAGCAGUAAUAAUUCUGAGGCACAAAUCCUCAAGCUGUAUCUGAUCCAGAAGUUCAACAACAGGACACCAAGCAUACGGUGUGGCAUCUUCCUCAUAGCUUCAGAGGGCCACAAUACAUAUCUGAGAGACAGAGCAGCUUGCAUCUUGCCAAAGCACUUCUGGUCAUGGAUGUACCAAAAGGCUACAACUUCUCUUGGCUAUUCAUAGCCAGACAAGCUGUGAGCUCAGCCUAGUGAAACUGUAAGAAUAGACGCAGGGCUUCUUGAGUGAAGAAUAUACACAGAGCUAGCUGCACAAUUGUGCUUUGCAGCCUGCUCCAGUGAGAUUUUCCAGCACACCCCUCCUGUGCCAGCUGAGAAGGUUUGUGGUUACCCUAUUGGCUUUGGUGAAGCCCAGGGCAGAUGCAGCCUACCAGAAUGCACAUAAUUCUUACAGGUGUUUCCAUGGGAUUUGUACAGAGCGCAUCUUUUGAGGAGCCCCUUGGAAAGGGAAAAAUGUGAGGUCACUGUGUUGAUCUUCUAAAGUAGAGAAUAACUUCUGUUUUAUGAAGAUGCUAUGCUUACCAAACAGUGGCACUGCUGGGGGAAGUGGUGUACAAAAACCUGAGGUUUCAAAGGAAGCAAUGGCAAAUUUCACAUCCAUCUGGUAAAAAGAAACAAUGAUUUGCAGCAGUGUGGAUAUGAGGCACGCUGGGAUCUGAGCAGGUGGAGCACACAGCUCCUCGGCAGGUCUCUGAGCUCUCAGGCUCCUGUGGGUUACAAUGUCAUAUUGCAGGAUAUUUCUCCUGCCAGACACUAUGUGGUUCUUAGACAUUAUUCUUUUUCCUCACAGCAGGAGAGAUCAGAUCAGAAAGUGAUGUUACGAUCACAGUCUCAAUCAUAGAUCAUAAUAAAUAAAUGGCAUGUCGAAUAUUUUCCCUUCAAAGACUACAAAUAUUAUUUUCUUUGCGUUUCAGUUAUACCUGACCACUGUUGACUAUUGGAAGUCAACAACCUUCACUACAGUCUCGCACAGAGUGAAGAAAAGUGGCAGCAGCCGUGCUACCCACACCUGCCUUGCACAGUCAUUCCUGUACUUCGUCUGGAGCUGCCUUGUCUGCAGGGUUUAAGCAUACCCAGUGUUAUGACUUCCUGAAAGAUGUAGUUCUGUUGAAUGGCUUGAAUAGAAAAAGUGCUGACUUUAACAGAAACUGCACUUUUUUCCCCCCAGUUUUCUGUAACAUUUCCUUAUCCAUCUUUCCUCAGUGUAGGGACUGAUAUUUCUGGACAGAAAGCCUUACACAACCAAGUCCAUAACUGCAACGGGCUGGAGUUGAAUGAAGAUCACAGGUUUGCCUAAAAGCAACAUUUCCCCCAUCUGUGAUGUGUGGCCUAGAUUAUUGCAGAUAGAGUGAAGUCUGCUAUUGUACAUCUCUGAACUUCUUUGCAAGAGGUCCACUUGGGAAGUUUUGCUCUUCACCACCCUAGAAAUGUGUAAAUGUUUAUUACUAGCAAGCUGCAGUUCAUGGUUUAUCUUGUGGUUAACAGGGUUUAACUUGUGAUACCAGGUUAGCAGUAUUUGAUGGGAAGGGGCAGGUGGAUUGCUGCUUGAGGGUGGCUGGGAUUUCCCUCUUCUUGCACUGGGUGCACCUCAAGUCUGGAGGGGCUAGAUGGACAAGUGCUCCUUUUCAGCCCUUGACAAGGUAGUGUUCUCAUGUUUUCGAAUGCAAUGAUCACCAGAAUUGCUCAAUGUUGUACAAGAGUGGGACCUCAUGAAAGCCAUGGCCCGAAGCAACGACUAAUUAAUGUUAUCUCAGCACUGCUAUAUGUGUGUGUCUUCCACACUGCUUGCCAGCUCACUUGUUGAGAGUGAGAAGGACGUAUGAGAGCAUGAGAAAUCAAACCUAGUUUGUGACUAAUAGAUCUGAUAGGGAUCCCUAAGUAGUGAUCAUACAGCAGAUUGAGAUCCCUCUCAGGAGUUUAAGAGCAUGAACAUUAAAAAUAGCCUUACUCUUCGUGGUCUCCUGAUUGAAAUUCUUCUGACGGUAAGCCAAGAAAGCUGUUACUAAUUUAAUGCAAGACUAUUUAAUAGCAGAAAUUUCAUCUGCCUCGCACCUGUAUGCUAUGGAAGUCUAAAACACAUUGUAGCUAGAAAAUGGGUGUUUAUCUCUUUCCUUCUGAGCCAAUGCCACUGAAAGGAGCUGAUUCCAGCUAAGGAGCACUGGGUUGAAUAUAAAUUAGUAUACUGCGAAAAACAUCACUCAAACUGUCUGCAUUGAGAUGUUUUUGGAUCUCUGCAGAAUAUGCUGCUUCCAUUGCAGUUUAAAACACUUUUCCAUGCUAUAAUCAUCUCUUUGUUGUUGUUCCCUGUUUAAGGCAAUUUGGUCACUGUUACAGAAGGUUUGUGAAGAUGUGAAACUGCUGACAUAGAGCAAGCCUGAAAGGGAAGCCACAGCUUGCAAUCUCUAUCGUCUCAGAACCCAAACGCAAGUUUUCAAGGCAGUGCCAUGCAUGUAGCCAGAUGGAAGCAUCAAAGCCCAUUGCCCUUGAGCCCAUUUGUUCCCAUCCUGCAUUGGCAGCGCCCUGUGGGCACAUUAAGUUCCUCAGCUCCAAGAGAAAGAAGCCAGAGCCUGUUGCUGUCCACAAAGAACAUCUCCUGUGCUCAUUUGCUGCUAGGUUGAUGAGCAAAACUGCCUUGAAAGAAGCAGACAUAAAAUAAGAGGUUGGAGUGGCUGCCUCUGUAGGUGGGGGAAAUACAACCCGACAGUGCCAUCUUGAGGAAGUGGACAAGAGGCAUCAAGGUGGGUUUUUGUUCUUGUGAUUCUCCCUCUCUCUCGAUAUAGAGAUGUAUAUGUAUAUCACAUUUUGUUCUGGCUGCCUGCCACUGGCAAGUGUGUUUACACUCAAGUUAGAGUGAACAAAUGGCUUCGGAAGUAAAAUUGCACUUCGUGUGCAUAUAAUGAUGCCACUUACAAUGAUAACCUUCCAGCUUUCUGCUGCAAACCAAGUUCUAGAGGUUUAUUUGUGAUAUUGAAAAGGUCUAUUCCCUUUAUCACAAGUGCAUUCUUAUAAACAGCCUGUAUUGAAAAGCCUUUCAAUAUGAAGAGAAUCAAGAAGGCAAUCUGCAGGAAAGUAAAAAACCCCAAACAAAUGAGAAGAACCUCUCAAAUUGCCAAACAGUAGUGGAGUGGCUGAAACUGCCACGCAACCAAAGACAGGCAUUUUCUGAACAAAGAGUUAAGCAACAACAACGACAAAAAUCUUAUGGAACAGAAGUAACUUUACCAGGUUGAUCUCUCUUAGGGUGGUUGCUAAGGCCAAGACACUUGUAGAGUGAUUGUUCCAAGGCAGAUGGAAAACUCAUGAAGGUAGGCCAUUGGAUAGGAAUUUAAUUGUAUUCUUGCCUUGAAGUCUUGUGUUUUGUACUCCUCGCUGACCACAAGGGUUAAUUUGUAUAAACACACCUUGAGUGACAUAUCUUGGUCUUAGCAGAAAGGGACUUCAGAUUCUUAGAGCGGUCCUUCAUGGACCUGUGCUCAUCAGCCAUCAGUGUAGUCAAAGCAAGUCAGACAGCUGGAAAUUCUUUCUCCAGUGUUGCUCCUGUGAUGCUUAAAUUUUCUAGGCCAGAGGAAGAAGUUCCUUUGCAAACCAUUUCACUGAGUCUAAACCUACAAUUGGGAUUGUUCUUAAGCACCAAGAUAUACAGUGGCAGCUGUGCAGAUACUCCUACAAUUCUGCCUUAGUUUUGGCAUGGUGAGCUUGUUAGUCAGUCACUAGUGAAACAUAAAAGCUCAGCUUGCUCAUCACUUCAGCCUUGGCAGAGUUUUCCUGGUGAAAUGAGAGCCAUCUGGAGUGCCCUGUGGUGCAUGGUACUAACAUUACACUGUACCUCUGCAAAUCUUAGCAUUCUGCUUUGUUUAACAAAACAAACAAACAAACAAACAAAAGCCUUAAACUGAAGUUAAUUUAACACCACAACACACAUCCUCACAGCUUUGACUUUCUGAAGGCAGCAGUUGUAUUCCUGUGUUUGCACAGCUAGCCAUGCAGCAUCUGUUACUUCUCUCUGAUCUCCCUUAGCAGUAGGUGGGAAUGCCAGCCUUCUGCAGCCUGAAGGAAGGGGCUCUACCCUUCUGCUUCUCAUUCAUCUCUGAUGACUUACAGUCAGAAAAUUGGUGCACAAAAGAGCAAAUUAACAAUUGUGUGAAAAAGCAGUUGAUUUUUCAGAUUUUUAUGUAAUCUUUGUACUCAUAGGAGCUAGAAUAACUCAUAACGCUGCAGAACAAAUGGAUGUAGUUUAUGAAUGAAUGAACAUAUUGCUUUAUAAUGAUAUUGCUUUAUGUUGUCACAUGUUACGAAAACUACUUUCUCUGUUCGCAGCCUCCUAGGUAUUUCAGAUGGUACUGACAAGUUUGAUGAAUGGUUUGGGAAAGGAAGAAUGCAAUGUGUCAUAAAGUUGUAUGCAUAGUUUUACAUGUGGGUUCUAGGUCUUAGAGCAGCUUGGAGAUGGAGCAUGACUAGAUAUGAAAUGGAAGGUUAUGUAGGAAAAAAAAAAAUCAAUAUAGUUAUAGAAUAAGCAAUUGUUUAAGGUUCUGGGGAGCAGCGUUCAGUCUUGCGUGCCUCUCCUAAAAAAAAUACAGAGAGGAAAAUACAGAACAGCCCAAUUCAAGACAGUAAAACAGGAACAAAUACAGUGAGAUACUUCGAAAUGCAGAAGUGGCUGAGCACAGAGUACAAAUGCUGAAGUGUGGAGAGCAUAAAUAGAUCUUCAAACACAUUCAUAGUAGCUAUUAAGACAAAGGAAGUAGGUAUUGCUAUAUCCUCACUGCAGAUCAGAAAAGAAAUAAUGGCUUUACACUGCAGCUGGAAAUGCUCUGCUCAGAAACUAAAAGAAACUCUUGUAGCUGAAGAUAGCUGAGCACCAGAAAUACCCCUUGCUGGGAGGUGUUAUUAAAAGAAAGUUAGACACAUUUCUGCUUGUUGUAACACGGGAAUGCUUCAGGUCGCCCUUUUUUAGAUUGCCUUUUCUUGCCUUUUCUGCAAGCCUGUGUUUUCACAUGCAAAAGACUGGGUUGAAUUAAAGGCAUUGCCCUGUAUAAUGUGACAGCUGCAUGUGUGUUAGUACUGAGGGUGCAAAGAAGACCCUAGCCAAUUAGGCUCCUUGAGUACCAAUCAGUGUAAUCCCAGUGACAUUAACUCUAACCUUUGUAUGAGUCCUCUUUAUUUUCUGCAGGUUGUCAGUAACCCUUUGACCAGUGACAUAUCAUUGGAUUUAAUUAUGCUAUGCCUAAUUUUGAAUGGAUUUGCCUCCUCAUCUCAGCCUUGGCUGUCAGCAGUCACCCUGCCCAUACACACCAUUACACUUUAUAAAAAGCAUCCAAAAAGUAGACGGAUACAGAAAAGGGGAGGGAGAAAGAAAGAAAGAAAAAAAGGAUGUGAUGAAGAAUUACUGCUAUUUUUCUUCAGAUACAUCUUUGCCACGUGUCAUUUGUAGACAAGAGUAUGUGCUACUGAAGAAGACCUUUCUGGGCUACUCUCAAGAAACUGAGGCUGUGCGCGCUGCCCGAAGAGAACGUGUUGUCCUGGAGGGUCCCUGAGAUCCUCUCUCUGCUGCCUGCUGCUCCCUGUGCUGAGCCCCAGGAUGGAGCAGCCUUGGUGGACUCCUGGUCCCGUUCACCCAGCUGUGGGAGUGCUGAAGGCUAAGGUUUGCAGACAGUUUUGUGUUUUUCGUAAGUGUGUUUCAGUCUGAAUCACAGUAAUACUCUUCUCUUCCACAGUUCUUGUCAACCAGUAAUUCUGAGAAAACCUGGCACGGUGACCCUUUGACCCCCAGAAUUUACAUCUGCCCUGUGGUGCAGGCACCUCUUGGCCAGGGGCUCCAUGACAGCCAUCCACUGCAAGUCCACCUACUCAGGUGAGGGGCUCAGCAAGCUCAGAGGUCCUGUUAUCAGUACCUUGAGUUGCUGUUUUGGGCAAACCCUUCCAACUUUCUGCUUCUAAGAUCUUGAGACCUGCUUCCAGGUCAAAGAGUAGCUUCUGGAGUAUUUGUGCACUGUCUGUCUAUGCAUUGCAAAUCAGCCUCUGAGAUUUACACCUUGCUACUGUAUUGUUGUAAUAGAGCUUGGCUUAAAUACUUCUCCUGUGGCUUCCCAUUCUCCCUCUUUGCAGAUCUUACAAACAGUUGUCGACCUAUUAGUACACCCAGCUAUUUGAUCCCUAAAUGGCAUCAUUUCCAUGUCACUUUUGUUGUUUGUUUCAACAGCAGCACUGGGUGAUUUGCUCCCUUCUGCUUGUGAUUCGUAUGUGUAAGCAGCUUUUUUGUUUAAGGAGAGAAUGUCUCCUGUUUAAAUACCUAUCACCUUGAUUUAUUGCUGAGAGCUAUUUGAUCUUUACACUUCCUGAGCUCUAAGACUUAUUUCUGUACUGAACAAUCACUUUUUCCUUCCUCCAUAAGCUCUGCCUGGUUUCUGACUUGAAGCUGAUCCGUAGCCAAACAGAGCCCUCCCCAGGGUGCUCACCCAUGCUUCUGGUACAGCUCUGCUAGCUCAGGUGUGCAAGGCCUGGCACAUGGCAGCAGGACAGGGCCUGGGGAAAGGUGAGGGAGGUACCAGCAUCCCUUCCCCACAUGCAGCAGGACACUGCAUUGCCCUGCUGCAUUCAGGCUCUGCAAGCUUCUUGCCCAGGGUCUUUCUUUCUCUGAUUUUCUGAUGGGAAGAGGAGACAUUGCAACAGUCGGUGUUGAUCAAAAUGAAACUAGGGUUUGGGAGCAGAAUGCAUCGGUGCUAUUUUUAGCAUGGGAAGCCUGUGAAACAGCAGUGUUAAUUGCAUCAGCCCCAUCUCAUGAGUGACCCUGGCUGCUGCCUGCUUCCCCUUUCUCUGUCCUCAGAGCCACACAGGAACCAACGGUGGCAGAUAACACACUCACAGGCUGCUUUGUGCUGUAACCCAGCUUUGACCCUCCAGCCACACCAACAUUGAGCACGAACACUGAAAGGUUCAGCUUGUUUCUCUCCAUCCCUUGGAAACUGCCGAGCAAUGCUUGUGUUUGGAUGUUCAAAUGUUAGUGCGAUUAACCUUUUGUUUGAAAUAGCAAUGUUCAUGCACCUCACUUUGUGCACCUGCUGGGGACACAGGUAUUUAGGUAGGGUUGGUUCCAAACAACGUGUGGUGUGCACAAACAGGUGCAGUGCCCUGCAAAACUAAGGGAUCCUGAAUGCGGUAGGUGUCUCAGUGAAUGCAGAUGUCAGAAUUAGUGGCUAUAAAUCAUAGAAUCAUAGAAUCCUUAGUGUUGGAAGGGACCUUUAAAGAUCGCCUAAUCCAACUUCCCUGCACUAAUAGGGGCAUCCAUCAGGUUGCCCAGGGGCCUUGCCUUGAGAGUCUCCAGAGUCAGGGCAUCCACCGUAUCUCUGGGCGACCUGUUCCUGUGUCUCACCACCCUUACUGUAAGACUUUUUCCUUAUAUGCAACCUAAAUCUCCUCCCCUUUAAGCUUGAAACCAU